rnacentral:tRNA from 1 species
GCCUUCGUGGUGUAGUGGUCAGCACUCUCGGCGAGUAUUCCAGAGGUCCGUGGUUCGAGUCUCGGCGAAGGCC